rnacentral:rRNA from 1 species
GACGAACGCUGGCGGCGUGCUUAACACAUGCAAGUCGAACGAAGUGGCGAACGGGUGAGUAACGCGUAAUCAACCUGCCCUUCAGAGGGGGACAACAGUUGGAAACGACUGCUAAUACUGCAUACUGAAGGAGGGGAUUGCGUCUGAUUAGCUAGUUGGAGGGGUCACGGCCCACGAAGGCGAUGAUCAGUAGACGGUCUGAGAGAAUGAGCGGCCAGAUGGGGACUGAGACACAGCCCAGACACCUACGGUAGGCAGCAGUGGGGAGUCUUCCGCAAUGGACGAAAGUCUGACGGAGCAACGCCGCGUGAGUGAUGACGGCCUACGGAUUGUAAAGCUCUGUUAAUCGGGACGCGGUACCGGAAUAGAAAGCCACGGCUAACUACGUGCCAGCCGCCGCGGUAAUAC